CCUACGGGAGGCAGCAGUGAGGAAUAUUGGUCAAUGGACGGAAGUCUGAACCAGCGAUGCCGCGUGAAGGAAGACGGCUCUAUGAGUUGUAAACUGCUUUUGUACAAGGGUAAACCUGAAUACGUGUAUUCAGCUGAAAGUACUGUACGAAUAAGGAUCGGCUAACUCCGUGCCAGCAGCCGCGGUAAUACGGAGGAUCCAAUCGUUAUGCGGAUUUAUUGGGUUUAAAGGGUGCGUAGGCGGAUUGAUAAGUUAGAGGUGAAAUGUCCGAGCUUAACUCGGGAACUGCCUUUAAUACUGUUGAGCUAGAGAGUAGGUGCGGUAGGCGGAAUGUAUGGUGUAGCGGUGAAAUGCUUAGAGAUCAGACAGAACACCGGUUGCGAAGGCAGCUUACCAAUCUAUAUCUGACGUUGAGGCACGAAAGCGUGGGGAGCAAACAGGAUUAGAUACCCUAGUAGUC
rnacentral:rRNA from 1 species